UACAGAGGGGGCAAGCGUUGUUCGGAAUUACUGGGCGUAAAGAGCGCGCAGGCGGUCGUUCAAGUCGCGUGUGAAAGCCCCCGGCUCAACUGGGGAGGGUCACGCGAUACUGAUCGACUCGAAGGCAGGAGAGGGUAGUGGAAUUCCCGGUGUAGUGGUGAAAUGCGUAGAUAUCGGGAGGAACACCAGAGGCGAAGGCGGGUUACUGGGCUGAUACUGACGCUGAUGCGCGAAAGCCAGGGGAGCAAACGGG
rnacentral:rRNA from 1 species